ACAUGUAGGUAGAGAAUUCUGGAUGUUCUUCACCGUCUGAAGAAAUUUCUCAUCUCAAUCCUAAACAGUUUACUUCUUAAUCAGAGACAGUGGAUAUAUCCCUCCUGCAUCCACUCUGUCAAGCACGAAAUUAGUCACCUGUAUAAAAAGAAUCUACAGUAAAAAUGUGUUUGUUAGUCAAUGAUUUCGAAAGGAAAUUGGAAAGGCAUGACAGAAAUAUACUUGCUGGACUAUGGGGAGAACACAGAGGAAUCAGUCUGACUGGACUGGUCUACAAAGAAGGUGCUGCCUGACCUGCUGAGUUCCUCCAGCAUUUUGUGUGUGCUGCUCCAGAUUUCCAGCAUCUGCAGUCU